rnacentral:rRNA from 2 species
CUUCGGGCUCGACCUCCAACCCUUUGUGAACACAACUUGUUGCUUCGGGGGCGACCCUGCCGUUUCGACGGCGAGCGCCCCCGGAGGCCUUCAAACACUGCAUCUUUGCGUCGGAGUUUAAGUAAAUUAAACAAAACUUUCAACAACGGAUCUCUUGGUUCUGGCAUCGAUGAAGAACGCAGCGAAAUGCGAUAAGUAAUGUGAAUUGCAGAAUUCAGUGAAUCAUCGAAUCUUUGAACGCACAUUGCGCCCCUUGGUAUUCCGAGGGGCAUGCCUGUUCGAGCGUCAUUUCACCACUCAAGCCUCGCUUGGUAUUGGGCGCCGCGGUGUUCCGCGCGCCUCAAAGUCUCCGGCUGAGCUGUCCGUCUCUAAGCGUUGUGAUUUCAUUAAUCGCUUCGGAGCGCGGGCGGUCGCGGCCGUUAAAUC